rnacentral:tRNA from 1 species
GCCUAGCUGGCUCAGUUGGUAGAGCAUGUGACUCUUGAUCCUGGGGUCGUAAGUUCGAGCCCCACAUUAGGUG